CUCCUGCCCUGCCUCUCUCUCCCUACUUCCUCUCUCUAGUUUCCUGGGAUCGAUCUCCCAAAUGAACUACCUGCACCCAAAUCCACACCUCAAAACCUGCUUGUGGGAGAACCCAGGGGGAGAUUUAAUAACGACGUCCUCAAAAAGUUCUUUUCUGAUGUCACAAACUGUAUUUGUUGCCCUUUUCACAUUCACCAAUAACACUCCAUAUGUUUCCUUCAGAGAAUUAUAACUUGUAAUUGUCUGUUCCUUGGGUAACUUCUGGGCGGAUCCCUCUCUAGACUGAAGGCUUCAUGGGGCGGCAACCGUGGUUUUCUGUGCUGCUCACACGCUGAGAACACAGGAGAGGCCUGGAGACCACUGAUAGAUUCGGGAAACAUUUAGAAGAAAUGGACAGCGGCCGGACUUCUUUCUCCCAUUCACCUUUCUACCCCCUCGUCGUUUAGCACUCUGCCUUGAAAAUAAACUGCAACUGAUGAAUAUUUU
rnacentral:lncRNA from 10 species